CCUCACUGAAGAGAGCACUGUUCACCCACCCCUUUCCAUCUCUCCAUUUGGAGAGAGUUGUUUACCAUCUCUUCAAAUUUGUAUACGAAUUGGAAGAAUGAAGUGGAGAAUGAAAUUAGAAGAAUGAAUUUAGUAAACAACUCCUCCAAUUUUUCUUUUUCCACUCCUCCAAUUCUCCAUUUUUUUGGAAAAUUCUCCAUUUUUCCAAGUUGCUAAACGACCCCUAAAGCUCCGACUGCCCUAACGCCCACAGAGUCGCAAACCUCCUCCCACUGCCUAGAGAGUCACAAACCUCCGACUGCCCACCACCGUUCGCCGGAAAGAAGCUGCUGCCCACUGCCCACUCUCCUCACCGUCGCUGACUUGUGCACCGCCCCUGUCCGCACCGCCCACUCUCCUCUCCACCGCGUCGCUGACUUGGAUUUGGAUUUGGAUUCAGCCGAUUUGGAUUAAUUAUUUCUUCGAUUUGGAUUGCACCGCCGGCAGCUUUUUUGGAUUAUUUGGAUUUUGGAUUACACCGCUCACUACUUUUUUUUUUCAUCAAUUCGACGGCUGCAUCCAGUUCUAGUGGUGAUUGAGUUCCAAUAAUGAUGGAGAAGGCUGAUCCUGCACAGAAAUUAUAUACAAGGAUGAGACUGUGGGAGUUUUCUGAUCAAUAUGUCAUUGAGCCUACAGAUGGUUUUCUUUUACUUAUCUUUCCAUCAACUAACAAUGCAUCAGUUGCUCAAGAAAGAGGUUGAUAGUCUUUCUCAAAAAUUGGCAACUGAAAAGCAUGGACAAGUUGGCACUUUUUACUGAAAUCAUUCAAAAAUCCAGCAAGCAAUUAUGUGUGACUUGGCUGGAGGAGGAGCUAUCAUUAGGAAAGAGCAACAUUGACAAAAUGUGUGUUUGUUCAAUGGUUGAUACAUUGGAUGAUGAUGGAGGUAUUUUACAGAAUAUCAGAAAGUUGGGCAAGGAGGACCUUUAUGCAGAGUGGUAUCUGUUCUUAAAUUUGGACUCAUCAGGAGUGGUGCCUAUUAUGAUCAUGGUUUUUUCACUGAGCAUGGGGUGGCCAUAUUAGAGGAUUUGGUGAUUACACUGGCAGAAGGGGCUACAAGCAUGUAUUUAGAGCUUAUUGUAGAUACUAUCUUUUAUUUUUGUUUUGGCUGACACUGUUCCAGAUUUGCUGCAAGCAUGUAUUUGGAGCUUAUUGUAGAUACUAUCUUCUAUUUUUGUUUUGGCUGAAACUGUUCCAGAUUUCCAGAACUGAAUGUGGAAUUAUUAUUAUUAUUAUUAUUAUUUUUCUGUUAAUGUAAGUAACACAAAAGAAUAGAACUCCAGGAUAAAGGAAUAAAAGUGGGAUUCGUUGGAAUCUUUA